CACACACACACACACACACACGCACACAUCGGCCAGUCCCAGCACCGACUGGGGCCAGCUCCCUCUUUCUGUGAGCUCCGUCCAACUGCCGGACACCCGCCGUAGGAAUUCUCCCUCCAUGGUUCCUUGUUGCAAGGGGAGGCUUAAACAGCUCAUGAAAGGAAAGGAUAAGCGCCGAUGAAACCCGGCACGCACGCAGGGCUACACGGGCCCCCUCCCCUCAGCCUCACGCACACGGGAGCCGGGCACACUGCCCCUUGUCACAGGUGAGGGUAAGGCCGCGGGUAGAGGCUGGGGAGAGCUCGCUCGGUGCAGCGUCGGGGAUCUGGAAUAUGCCCAGGCUGUCCUGCGCCCCUUGAGGUCGGGGCUUGGGGAGGCGGGGGUCCCAGAGCCCGAUACUAGCCGGGCCUUUUUGGCAUGGGGCGGGGGUUGUUUUGAGGAGCGGCCGUGGCAGCGGCUCCGGCGGUGGC